rnacentral:rRNA from 1 species
CGAUGCGAUCAUACCAGCACUAAAGCAUCGGAUCCCAUCAGAACUCUGAAGUUAAGCGUGCUUGGGCGAGAGUAGUACUAGGAUGGGUGACCUCCUGGGAAGUCCUCGUGUUGCAUUCC